AGUGAACGCUGGCGGUAGGCCUAACACAUGCAAGUCGAACGGCAGCACAGUAAGAGCUUGCUCUUACGGGUGGCGAGUGGCGGACGGGUGAGGAAUACAUCGGAAUCUACUUUUUCGUGGGGGAUAACGUAGGGAAACUUACGCUAAUACCGCAUACGACCUACGGGUGAAAGCAGGGGAUCUUCGGACCUUGCGCGAUUGAAUGAGCCGAUGUCGGAUUAGCUAGUUGGCGGGGUAAAGGCCCACCAAGGCGACGAUCCGUAGCUGGUCUGAGAGGAUGAUCGCCCACACUGGAACUGAGACACGGUCCAGACUCCUACGGGAGGCAGCAGUGGGGAAUAUUGGACAAUGGGCGCAAGCCUGAUCCAGCCAUACCGCGUGGGUGAAGAAGGCCUUCGGGUUGUAAAGCCCUUUUGUUGGGAAAGAAAAGCAGCAGGUUAAUACCCCGCUGUUCUGACGGUACCCAAAGAAUAAGCACCGGCUAACUUCGUG
rnacentral:rRNA from 1 species